GAUAACACUUGUCAGUUACAGUCAUCUCGAGCAAGAGCCACUUCUCAUUUAUUUUACAGUAUGGGUUCGCCGAUAAUGAAUACUUUGACAGUCCUCCUAGCGACGACCAUGUUUAUGAUAUCACCGGUGAUGGCGUGUUCUUCCUGCCCUCAUGAUUGCUUGAUUGCUUACUACCCGUUUGAGGGAGACGUUACUGACAGCUCCGCUAACAACCGCGACGGAACCACGACCGGCGA